UCGAGAAUCUUUAGCAAUGGACGAAAGUCUGACUAUGCGACGCCGCGUGAGGGAUGAAGGUUUUCGGAUCGUAAACCUCUUUCGAUGGGGAAGAAGAGCCGACGUAAGUCGGCUUUGACGGUACCCAGAGAAGAAGCCACGGCCAACUCCGUGCCAGCAGCCGCGGUAAUACGGGGGUGGCGAGCGUUACUCGGAUUUAUUGGGUGUAAAGGGCAGGUAGGCGGCUAUGUAAGUUGUAGGUGAAAUCCUUUGGCUCAACCAAAGAACUGCCUUCAAAACUGCAUAGCUUGAGACUAGAAGAGGAAAGCGGAAUUCCCGGUGUAAGGGUGAAAUCUGUAGAUAUCGGGAGGAACACCAGUGGCGAAAGCGGCUUUCUGGUCUAGUUCUGACGCUAAGCUGCGAAAGCUAGGGGAGCAAACAGG
rnacentral:rRNA from 1 species